rnacentral:ncRNA from 2 species
AACUUAUCAAGAGUGGUGGAGGGACUGGCCCGAAGAAACCCAGCAACCAAUAUAUUUUAUAAAUAUAUGUGGUGCUAAAUCCUGCAGUGUAAAGACUGAUAGAUAAGGU